rnacentral:rRNA from 1 species
CCUACGGGUGGCAGCAGUAGGGAAUAUUGCUCAAUGGGGGAAACCCCGAAGCAGCAACGCCGCGUGGAGGAUGAAGGUUUUAGGAUUGUAAACUCCUUUUGUUAGAGAAGAUUAUGACGGUAUCUAACGAAUAAGCACCGGCUAACUCCGUGCCAGCAGCCGCGGUAAUACGGAGGGUGCAAGCGUUACUCGGAAGCACUGGGCGUAAAGAGUUCGUAGGCGGGGUAAUAAGUCAGAUGUGAAAUCCUGUAGCUUAACUACAGAACUGCAUUUGAAACUGUUACUCUGGAGUGUGGGAGAGGUAGGUGGAAUUCUUGGUGUAGGGGUAAAAUGCGUAGAGAUCAAGAGGAAUACUCAUUGCGAAGGCGACCUGCUGGAACAUUACUGACGCUGAUGCACGAAAGCGUGGGGAGCAAACAGGAGUAGAUACCCGAGUAGUC